CUUUAAAAAUCCCCCUGUGUCCAAUGCACUCAAUGUAGACUCAAUACUCGCUCAAAACGCUAUGUAUGUUUACAAAACAUGUGCUGCCAUCUAUUGGUGAACAGUUGCCUAUGGUAUGUUUAUAUCGAAUGUGGAUGCAAUAAAUUGCUUAUAAUUACCGGUAAUAACAAAGUUAUACAGGUACAACACUGAUUUACAAGACAGAACCUCUCAUAAUCCACACUAAUAUACAAGCAGGAACUUCAAAUUUUCAUGGCCACCAGACUAGUUUACUGGUACUUUGCACAAUACAGUUUAUACAGGGGAUGAACAGAAUUUGUUGAAGCAGAUUUUUGAUACCUGGAUACCCUUCCUGUUGUUAACUCUCAGCCAUUUCCCAGUAAGGUAAUAGUCCCCUUGACCAGGCAUGUUUCCACAAAAGAUUGGCAAUCAAGGACACAGCUUGCAGAAUGGUGACAUCUCAACUACUACAUGACAUCAAAGCAAGGAGAAAACACACAGACUAUAUAUAUACAUUCAAUUUCGGCCAA